CUUGCGACCCAGCACUAGCUCGACGGUGGUGGACUCCUCGCCUCCUUCCCGACCGGCCGCUUUUAGGUGCUACGAACACUCCACCAAGGUGGUUUGUUCUUCAGUAGGAAAGGGAAAUGUCACUCACUCUGGCUCUGCGGAGCGGCUCGAUGUCCCAUGAGACGUAGACCCCCAUGCCGCCAGGGCCCUCGAGGAACUCGACCCCGUCUGCGAUCAUCAUCCAAGCGUACCUGACCCGGUAGAAGUCAAGGUCCAACAAUGUGUGAAUGCCAAGGUCCAAGGAUUAUGUAAUACUGAGAAAGGGGCAAGUUGUAACAUGCUCAUGUCUGUCCUAUAUUAGUAGAGAUUGAAUUGUGCUGCACUAUUGCAAUCUGUGCUCCUUUGGUGAUGGAUAUAUCGGUUCAUGUACAUUGUUAUUUGUAUA